UACGUAGGCAGCAAGCGUUGUUCGGAGUUACUGGGCGUAAAGAGUGCGUAGGCGGUCCUGUAAGUUUGGUGUGAAAUCUCCCGGCUCAACUGGGAGGGUGCGCCGAAGACUGCAGGGCUUGAGUAUGGGAGAGGUAAGCGGAAUUCCUGGUGUAGCGGUGAAAUGCGUAGAUAUGCGGAGGAACACCGAUGGCGAAGGCAAUCCCCUGGGCCUGCACUCGACGCUCAUGCACGAAAGCGUGGGGAGCAAACAGG
rnacentral:rRNA from 1 species